GACGAAGGGGGCAAGCGUUGUUCGGAAUUACUGGGCGUAAAGGGCGCGUAGGCGGCCAUUUUAGUCAGACGUGAAAGGCCUGGGCUCAACCUGGGAAUUGCGUUUGAUACUGAGUGGCUAGAGAGCGGGAGAGGAUGGUGGAAUUCCCAGUGUAGAGGUGAAAUUCGUAGAUAUUGGGAAGAACACCGGUGGCGAAGGCGGCCAUCUGGACCGUAUCUGACGCUGAGGCGCGAAAGCGUGGGGAGCAAACAGG
rnacentral:rRNA from 1 species